UACGUAGGGACCAAGCGUUGUCCGGAAUCAUUGGGCGUAAAGCGCGCGUAGGUGGCCAUUUAAGUCCGCUGUGAAAGUCAGAGGCUCAACCUUUGAAAGCCGGUGGAUACUGGAUGGCUAGAGUACGGAAGAGGCGAGUGGAAUUCCUGGUGUAGCGGUGGAAUGCGCAGAUAUCAGGAGGAACACCAAUAGCGAGGGCAGCUCGCUGGGACGUUACUGACACUAAGGCGCGAAAGCGUGGGGAGCGAACAGG
rnacentral:rRNA from 1 species